rnacentral:misc_RNA from 1 species
UCCGGCUUGACGCCGGCAGUCCCCCGAGAGUCCUCGGCAUGACCCGUUAGUAACACGGGACAAGGGUUGCGCUCGUUGCGGGACUUAACCCAACAUCUCACGACACGAGCUGACGACAGCCAUGCACCACCUGUCACCGGCCCCGAAGGACCUCCCAUCUCUGGAAGAUUUCCGGUGAUGUCAAACCCAGGUAAGGUUCUUCGCGUCGCAUCGAAUUAAUCCGCAUGCUCCGCCGCUUGUGCAGGCCCCCGUCAAUUUCUUUGAGUUUUAACCUUGCGGCCGUACUCCCCAGGCGGAUGACUUAACGCGUUAGCUGCGCCACCGAAACCCUAAGGGCCCCGACAGCUAGUCAUCAUCGUUUACGGCGUGGACUAC